CAGGCGGUUGGCACGGCAUUUAGUGUUCAGGUUGACGCUCUGAAAGUGGCGCUUAUCGUGCAAGAGGGUAUUGUCAGC
rnacentral:tRNA from 1 species